rnacentral:rRNA from 1 species
GACGAACGCUGGCGGCGUGCUUAACACAUGCAAGUCGAACGGAAAGGCCCUGCUCUUGUGGGGUGCUCGAGUGGCGAACGGGUGAGUAACACGUGAGUAACCUGCCCUUGACUUUGGGAUAACUUCAGGAAACUGGGGCUAAUACCGGAUAGGAGCUCCUGCUGCAUGGUGGGGGUUGGAAAGUUUCGGCGGUUGGGGAUGGACUCGCGGCUUAUCAGCUUGUUGGUGGGGUAGUGGCUUACCAAGGCUUUGACGGGUAGCCGGCCUGAGAGGGUGACCGGCCACAUUGGGACUGAGAGACGGCCCAGACUCCUACGGGAGGCAGCAGUGGGGAAUAUUGCACAAUGGGCGGAAGCCUGAUGCAGCAACGCCGCGUGCGGGAUGACGGCCUUCGGGUUGUAAACCGCUUUCGCCUGUGACGAAGCGUGAGUGACGGUAAUGGGUAAAGAAGCACCGGCUAACUACGUG